GGGGGUCGGGGUUUACAGUGACUCGUGCAUAAUUGCGUAGGAAAUAUCUAUAUUAUCCUUUAUCUUGUGAGUUUAUUGUGAAUGAGCUGCGGUUCAAAUCCGCAUUCGCGAUAAUUAAACUGCGGUGGUCUACGAAUAAAACAUUCGGCGGCUCCAAGACAAGUAAAGAGUUUAUAUAAGUAUACGCCGCAUUCCUCCUGUCGCGCCCGUACGCUGGAUCAAAACUUGCUUUAAAACCUCAAAAUAUGAUAUUUUGGUCUCAAAAUACUAUCAAAAUGAAGAGAAAUUUAAGACAAAUUCAUUGACAUACGGCUGAAAGGGAGAAAACUAACGAUAUGAAGGUUUCAAGGCCAAGGGUCGAACGUACUGAAUGUUUUUAUUAGCGAUUUGUCAACAAUACUCAAUAGUCUAAACAAUACUCAAUAGUCAUACACAAUUUGUCAAUUUAAUACUUCACGCCAAUUCGAACGGUGUUAUUUUUGUCUUGAUCAACCAGAGAAAAGGCGGAGCAAAAUUAAAAGUCGGCGUAACAUUGAUUCCUCACAAACUAAACGAACAAACUCAUGAGUCAUGGGCAGAAUAUAAUGCAGCGCUAUAAAAGUUGGCUGCCACUGCAAUAGUACAACUAGCUACUUGCUGUAUUGUAGUGUCGCCAGCAUUUGUAUUAAUGAAUAACUAUAUUAUAAAUACUUUAGGGAGUGUUCAUUAUUUAUACCCGGGGUUGGUACCGAAGAGAAACUAAUCGAAAAGAGAAAAAAACAACCACCCACCCUUUCGAUCAACCAUUUUUUUCCCUACCCAACUAUUGCAUGACUUGGAUUUUUAUUUUACCCAACCCAAUUUCAAAAUUAUACAAGUACUUUACAUAUAUAUUAUUAU